GGUACAAGUGAUUCAAAUCUCAACACCCUUAAAGGAAUUCUGAUUUCAAGUUUGAAAUAAGAACCAUCCUUUGUGUGGAUUCAGAUGACAGAAGUCGAGAAUGAGCAGAUGUCUUUCAAAAAGGAACAUUAAGAAAAUGCAUGUUUGAUGUCAUGAAAUUUGAUUUCAUAGAGCAUCAGAAAAGCACAGUGAGAGCACUCAUAAUCCAUCAAAUGUAUGUGUUAUGAGCUAUGUACUGGGAAUUCAGAAGCAACAGUUGAAAAGUGUGAAAGUUCGGAAGAAAAUAAACUUCAACUCGG